rnacentral:pre_miRNA from 1 species
AUACUACUCCCUCCGCCCCGAAUUAGUUGUCUUAGAUUUGUCUACAUACGGAUAUAUCUAGACACAUUUUAGUAUUAGGUACAUCCAUAUCUAGACAAAUCAACUAAUUUGGUACGGAGGUAAUAUACA